rnacentral:lncRNA from 10 species
GCUGUCUGCGCCGCGCCUGACCCGAGGCUGGGGUCUCUCCUUUGAAAACGACGCGUUUGCAUCACUUUCCUGAGCCAGAAUCUGCGUCUUAUUUAAUUUGCAAGAAAUUCAGAGAUAUCUAAUUUGCAUGGUUUUUUUUCCCCCUUUUUCUUUUGAAUGCUGGAGACCGGAGGAACAUGGACUACCAAUCCCAGAAUGCGUUUUAUGGGACCCGCUCACCGCGCAGGCGCUCUUGCCCAAGCCACUGAGAGCGGGACGCGGGGCUAGGUCAGAGUAGGAAGGAGUCGCUGAGCUGAAUCUUUGUGGAGUGGAGUGGGGCGAGAGUCCUCCGAGUAGUCUGGAAAAUUAGACUUCUGAGCCUUAAUUCAUACUUAUAAGCAGCUAGUAAAUUGUAAAAUAUAGUGAAGCAAUGUAGUGUAGUAACUAAAACCCCAAGCUUUGGAGCCAGAUUGGGCCUUUAACCCUAAAGUUGCCGUUUAUUUUGACUGGCGAGUCAUUUACUUAUAGAUUUAUUUAUUUUUAUUUUUAUUUUUUUCUGAGACAGGGUCUCACUCUGUCUUCUAGGCUGUUGUGCAGUGGUGCGAUCUUGGCUCACUACAACCUCCGCCUCCCGGGUUCAAGCGAUUGUCCCACCUCAGCCUCCUGAGUAGCUGGGAUUACAGGCUUCCACCAUCACGCCUGGCUGAUGUUUGUAUUUUCAGUAGAGAGGGGGUUUCACCAUGUUGGCCAGGCUGGUGUCGAUCUCCUGACCUCGAGUGAUCCGCCCGCCUCGGCCUCCCAAUGUGCUGGGAUUACAGGCGUGAGCCACCGCGCCUGGCCAUUUAAUUAACUCUUUAAUACUGUUUCUCCUGUAAGAUGAACUAGCUGUGAGAGGUUUCUGGGAUAUUGGUUCACUCAGCAAGGAUGUUUAAAAAUGCCUUCUAUGUGCCAGACGCUGUUGUAGGUACCGGGAAUAUGGCGGUUAAAUUAAGAGGGUGAAGGUUUCUGCUCUGAUACAGUUUAUAUUCUAAAUGUGAGAGGACAGACCAGUUAGAUAGAUG